GCCUCGAUGGUGAAAUUGGUAGACACAGGAGACUUAAAAUCUCCCACCGCAAGGUGUGCCGGUUCGAUUCCGGCUCGAGGCA
rnacentral:tRNA from 3 species